GUAGUUAUUAUUACCAACAAAUAAAACUAAAUGCACAUAUUUAUUUUGUUUAUUUUAAAACUAGUCAUGUUUUCCUACAAUUGCUAUUGGCUUUCUCAACAUGUUGCUUUGAACAAGAUGGGAUAAUCUGCCUGUCAACUGGCCAAUGAGAAUAGUGCGCGCUCACAUUUCAAAUGACUCUGUUAGAGCGGGAGGCUGCUACCGGAAAGUUGCUCCUCGGCGCCGCAGCGCAGCACGGCUGGAGGAUUUCAACUUCACUUAUGGAUGCGAAUUUGAGUUGUGGGAUGUCAACGGACCAGACUGGAAUAUGAACACACAGGAUCUGUUCACUUCAGUAAAGAGAAUUUAUAUCCUGCAAAGAUAUCAGCAAAGGCCGCUAUGCAGGCCCGUGAUCUCAUGAGAAUGCUGAAGAACCAGGACUGACAACAUGCCACCGGAUUGUGGCGUACAGAAUUAAACCCAGGGACAGAUUAAGCAUUGGAACAACGUGGGGAGAACAGACACGCAACAACACCCAAAGUCCAUCACUAAUGCACUAAGGAUCAGGCUGAUAAGAGGGAUUUUGGACAAUUGGUUUCUAUCUGCACAAUGACUUCUGGUAAAGAUUCAUUGACCUUUUGCGGUAUGUUUUGAUUUUACUUAAUAAUACACUGCUUAGUUGGGAUUCAAAGUGUAAUGUUUGUGCUCAUAUAUUAUCAAAAUUAAAUGGAGCCACCUAGGGUCUGGAGAAUAUUAUGGAUAACUGUAUAAUACUGAAUUGGAAAAAUCCCCUCAGCUCAACAGCCUAAUGUGUUGCUUUCUCCACCUGUUUUUCAAUGGUGAGGUCAACAGUCAAGAUAGAGAAAUGCCAUUUUUAGUUUUUAAAUUCUUCCCAGAGGGCUCUAAAAAGCUGUAUGUAUGAAUAAUCAAUUGAUAUUUGAUAAUUGAAUUUAAAUUUUUAAAUCAAUAGUGGU